UACGUAGGAUGCAAGCGUUGUCCGGAAUUAUUGGGCGUAAAGCGUGCGCAGGCGGUUUUGUAAGUCUGUCGUGAAAUCCCCGGGCUUAACCUGGGAAUGGCGAUGGAGACUGCAAGGCUAGAGUUUGGCAGAGGGGGGUAGAAUUCCACGUGUAGCAGUGAAAUGCGUAGAGAUGUGGAGGAACACCGAUGGCGAAGGCAGCCCCCUGGGUCAAAACUGACGCUCAUGCACGAAAGCGUGGGGAGCAAACAGG
rnacentral:rRNA from 1 species